rnacentral:rRNA from 1 species
GAUGAACGCUGGCGGCGUGCCUAAUACAUGCAAGUCGAGCGAACAGACGAGGAGCUUGCUCCUCUGACGUUAGCGGCGGACGGGUGAGUAACACGUGGAUAACCUACCUAUAAGACUGGGAUAACUUCGGGAAACCGGAGCUAAUACCGGAUAAUAUAUUGAACCGCAUGGUUCAACAGUGAAAGACGGUUUUGCUGUCACUUAUAGAUGGAUCCGCGCCGCAUUAGCUAGUUGGCAAGGUAACGGCUUACCAAGGCAACGAUGCGUAGCCGACCUGAGAGGGUGAUCGGCCACACUGGAACUGAGACACGGUCCAGACUCCUACGGGAGGCAGCAGUAGGGAAUCUUCCGCAAUGGGCGAAAGCUUGACGGAGCAACGCCGCGUGAGUGAUGAAGGUCUUCGGAUCGUAAAACUCUGUUAUUAGGGAAGAACAAAUGUGUAAGUAACUAUGCACGUCUUGACGGUACCUAAUCAGAAAGCCACGGCUAACUACGUG